rnacentral:rRNA from 1 species
AUUGCCCUAGUAACGGCGAGUGAAGCGGCAAAAGCUCAAAUUUGAAAUCUGGCCCUAGCGGUCCGAGUUGUAAUUUGCAGAGGAUGCUUUUGGUGCGGUGCCUUCCGAGUUCCCUGGAACGGGACGCCAUAGAGGGUGAGAGCCCCGUACGGUUGGACACCUAGCCUCUAUAUAGCUCCUUCGACGAGUCGAGUAGUUUGGGAAUGCUGCUCUAAAUGGGAGGUAAAUUUCUUCUAAAGCUAAAUACCGGCCAGAGACCGAUAGCGCACAAGUAGAGUGAUCGAAAGAUGAAAAGCACUUUGAAAAGAGGGUUAAAUAGCACGUGAAAUUGUUGAAAGGGAAGCGUUUGCGACCAGACCUUCUCCAGGGGGAUCAACCGUUAUUUUUAGCGGUGCACUCCCCAUGGUUUAGGCCAGCAUCGGUUCUCUUAGGGGGAUAAAGGCCUGGGGAACGUAGCUCUUUAGGGAGUGUUAUAGCCCCUAGCGUAAUACCCUUCAGGGGACCGAGGACCGCGCUUCGGCAAGGAUGCUGGCGUAAUGGUCGUCAACGACCCGUCUUGAAACACGGACCAAGGAGUCGAACAUUUGUGCGAGUGUUUGGGUGUUAAACCCUCACGCGUAAUGAAAGUGAACGGAGGUGAGAGCCUUAGGGUGCAUCAUCGACCGAUCCUGAUGUCUUCGGAUGGAUUUGAGUAAGAGCAUAACUGU